CGCGCAGGCGGUUAUACAAGCCUGGUGUGAAAGAUCGCAGCUCAACUGCGGGACCGCACUGGGAACUGUAUGACUGGAGUUCAAGAGGGGAAGCUGGAAUUCCUGGUGUAGGGGUGAAAUCUGUAGAUAUCAGGAAGAACAUCAGUGGCGAAGGCGAGCUUCUGGCUAUGAACUGACGCUGCGGCGCGAAAGCGUGGGGAGCAAACAGGAUUAGAUACCCUGGUAGUCC
rnacentral:rRNA from 1 species